rnacentral:rRNA from 1 species
GUAGGUGAACUGCGGAAGGAUCAUUACCGAGUGUAGGGUUCCUAGCGAGCCCAACCUCCCACCCGUGUUUACUGUACCUUAGUUGCUUCGGCGGGCCCGCCAUUCAUGGCCGCCGGGGGCUCUCAGCCCCGGGCCCGCGCCCGCCGGAGACACCACGAACUCUGUCUGAUCUAGUGAAGUCUGAGUUGAUUGUAUCGCAAUCAGUUAAAACUUUCAACAAUGGAUCUCUUGGUUCCGGCAUCGAUGAAGAACGCAGCGAAAUGCGAUAACUAGUGUGAAUUGCAGAAUUCCGUGAAUCAUCGAGUCUUUGAACGCACAUUGCGCCCCCUGGUAUUCCGGGGGGCAUGCCUGUCCGAGCGUCAUUGCUGCCCAUCAAGCACGGCUUGUGUGUUGGGUCGUCGUCCCCUCUCCGGGGGGGACGGGCCCCAAAGGCAGCGGCGGCACCGCGUCCGAUCCUCGAGCGUAUGGGGCUUUGUCACCCGCUCUGUAGGCCCGGCCGGCGCUUGCCGAACGCAAAUCAAUCUUUUCCAGGUUGACCUCGGAUCAGUAGGGAUAC